AAAUCCGAGAAUUUCACCUCUGUCGUCGGAAUACUAAUGCCCCCGACUGUCCCUAUUAAUCAUUACGUCGAUUUCCGAAAACCAACAAAAUAGAAACGACGUCCUAUUCCAUUAUUCCAUGCACGAAUAUUCAGGCGUGUGAGGCCUGCUUUGAGCACUCUAAUUUUUUCAAAGUAAACCUGACGGCGCGACGGGACACUCGAUUAAGAGCACCCCGCGGCCUCCGCCAAACACAUCACGGCCAAAUGGGGCAGUAGCGCCAGAAGCGAACCGCCCCCUGGCCGCCGAGAUCCAACUACGAGCUUUUUAACCGCAACAACUUUAAUAUACGCUAUUGGAGCUGGAAUUACC
rnacentral:misc_RNA from 1 species